rnacentral:misc_RNA from 1 species
GUGAAUCAUCAAAUUUUUGAACGCGAAUUGCACUCUCUUCGGAGAGUAUGCCUGUUUGAGGGUCAGCCUAAAAAAAAUCGACCUAGUUGCUGUUACGCGGUAACAUUCGUCGGGAAUUGGGUCAUUUUAAACCUUUUGGUUUAAGCGGCUUAAAAUUUUCUUUACGAUUCCAAGAACGUUUCUAAGAUUUUUUUUUUUUUUACGUUUAAGGUUACGAUCUUUUUUA